rfam:Schistosoma curassoni strain Dakar, Senegal genome assembly, scaffold: SCTD_scaffold0000259
AUCCAGCUGACGAGUCCCAAAUAGGACGAAAUGCGCGCCAAACUGGAU